rnacentral:lncRNA from 1 species
GUGAUAAUGCUCUUAUAUUCAUAUUAAAAGAAAUAUAGAAAAGUAUGGAUUUGUAAAGUUAAGUUAGAAUACUAUCAAUAGUAAAUGAGCUUCGUUGUCAUCAAUUUAUUUUUUAUGAUGGAACCUCCAAAUCGACGAUCGGCACUUUAAAUAUAAUCUAUACCACUUAAAGCAUUUAGAAUCAAAUUUUAUGCCUUUUUUACAUCAUUAGCCAAUUCAUGAAAGAAAGAACCAAUUUUAAAAAAAUAGAAAUGAAGAACCGGUCCAAGGAUUAAAAAAGGGAAGCGGUUAAUUAAAGGAGCAAGAAACCGGUUCAAUAAAAAAUAGAAAAACUGGUUCAAUAUGAAACACCAAUAAAUGGGACCCACGACGGGUCCCACGUCUACCCAAAUUAAGGCUAAAUUAAGGCUAACAUGACACGUGUACAACUAAUACAGGGAUUAAUAGAGGUUAAUAGAUACUAGUGAAGAGACCCGCACUUCGCAGCGGACGGAAACUAUAAAAGCUACCAAUGAAAAAUAAAAAGUAUCCAUCAAUAAAAAAAAGAAAAAUAAAACUUAUCACAAAAACAAUUAGAUAUAGAAUAUAUAUAAAUAUAUAUAUAGAUAUAAAAUUUUAAUUUUAAUAAUAAUUAAUAAUAAGGAAUAAUGUAAUAAGAAUAGUAAUAAAAAGAAUUAUUUUUCAUUCUCUAAGU